GAUGAAGAAGCAGCGAAAUGCGAUAAGUAAUGUGAAUUGCAGAAUUCAGUGAAUCAUCGAAUCUUUGAACGCACAUUGCGCCCCCUGGUAUUCCGGGGGGCAUGCCUGUUCGAGCGUCAUUACAACCCUCAAGCUCUGCUUGGUAUUGGGCCCCGCCAGUUCUGGCGGGCCCUAAAGUCAGUGGCGGUGCCUUCCGGCUCCGAGCGCAGUAAUUCUUCUCGCUCUGGAGACCCGGUUGUGUGCUUGCCAACAACCCCCAAUUUUUUAAGGUUGACCUCGGAUCAGGUAGGGAUACCCGCUGAACUUAAGCAUAUCAAUAAGCGGAGGA
rnacentral:misc_RNA from 1 species